GAUGAACGCUAGCGGCAGGCUUAAUACAUGCAAGUCGAGGGGCAACAGGGGUAGCAAUACCUGCUGGCGACCGGCAAACGGGUGCGCAACACGUACAGAACCUUCCUUUAAGCGGGGGAUAGCCCAUAGAAAUGUGGAUCAAUACCCCAUAGCAAUGUUGGGUGGCAUCACUUAAUAUUUAAAGAUUUAUCACUUAAAGAUGGCUGUGCGUCUGAUUAGGUAGNGGUUGGGGUAACGGCCCACCAAGCCAACGAUCAGUAACUGGUGUGAGAGCACGACCAGUCACACGGGCACUGAGACACGGGCCCGACUCCUACGGGAGCAGCAGUAAGGAAUAUUGGUCAAUGGACGCAAGUCUGAACCAGCCAUGCCGCGUGAAGGAUGAGGGCCCUCUGGGUUGUAAACUUUCUUUUAUCUGGGAAGAAAUGCCCGUUUUCUAAUGGGUUUGACGGUACCAGAGGAAUAAGCACCGGCUAACUCCGUGCCAGCAGCCG
rnacentral:rRNA from 1 species